GUGCCAGCCGCCGCGGUAACACGUAGGAUCCGAGCGUUAUCCGAAUUCACUGGGCGUAAAGCGCUUGCAGGCGGCAAGGUAAGUUGGAUGUAAAAUCUUCUGGCUCAACUGGGAGAUGCCGUUCAAGACUGCCUGGCUAGAGGGCGAUAGAGGGAGGUGGAAUUCCCGGUGUAGUGGUGAAAUGCGUAGAUAUCGGGAGGAACACCAGAGGCGAAAGCGGCCUCCUGGAUCGCAACUGACGCUGAGAAGCGAAAGCUAGGGGAGCAAACGGGAUUAGAUACCCUAGUAGUCC
rnacentral:rRNA from 1 species